AGCUGGGAGAGUACUUGCUUACCACGCAGGAAGCCCUGGGUUGCAUUUUCAACACCACAUAAACAGAUCCUGUUGGUAUGCUUGAACCUCAGUACUUAGAAGAUGGAGGCAAAAUGAUCAGAUGUUCAAAAACAUGGCUUCACGGCAACUAUGAAGUCGGCCUGGGAUACAGGGGACAGGGUGCACUAUAUAACAUCAGAGACACAGUUUUGCUUUCCUGAAACCCAAGGCAAUCCGAAUCCUGAACACAGCUGCUGCCACCACCACAUCAACCGCCACCGCCGUCAACAACGGCAGACUGAUGGUUUAAGAGGAAUUGAGCCUAGGUCUGAAGAUAACCCUCUGGCUGUAGAGCUGGUUCAGUUAUUAAAAGUACUUGCUGUACAAGAUGAAGAUGGAAGUUGGGAGCCCAGAAUCCAGGGUCACUGGUUCCUGAGCAUAUGAGUGGGUUACUUCCAGCUCAACCUUCAGCAUCUUGGCCAGGCAACUAAUGAGAGCUGCUGAGUGAUAACCACCGGCUAAUGUGCCUGAACUGGCAGACCUUCCACACCACGAGACAAGCACAUGUUUGUCUUUGCUCUAGUUUGAGCAGCCUGUGGCACUGCGGCCAAGGAUCCUGGGAACUGUCGCUCCUGCUGCACAGGACAUGAGACUGGGCAAGGCUUCGGAGCACUGGGUGUGUUCAGAGGUUGGACAACUCCUUCCAAAUCCACGUCUAAGCUAACACCGCAGUUUCUACAGAGAGCAAUGACGAAGGGUUGUUUUGCACAUACACAGUUCACCGGGAAAGCCAAAGCUGCACCAUCUUUCUGCUAGUCUCAGCGUUUUAUCAAGUCCUACUUCCAUGGUGACACCUUGUGGUACCUUUAGAGUCAUUCAGAUUGACUCAGAACAGUAUAAAUUUUGUUGCAGCCCUAUUCUUCAAUGUUGGCAAUUUUUUGUAGGGUCUAAUUUGUAGCUUAUUAAUUGUAGCAGUGUUUUUCAAACUUCUGCAUUUAUAAUAUAUAUAAUAUAUAUAUUUGUUUUGUUUUGAAACAGUCUCAUGUAGCUGAGGCUGGCCUUAAAUUCUCUAUGUAGCCAAGGAUGCCUUGAAUUCCUGAUUCUACCUUCAUAAUAGGUGUACACUGUUGGGAAUCUCAGGCUUGGGCCCCAUUCCAAACCCCACCCAGAUGUUCAGCUGGGAACUCAGCCCCACUCCUCUCCUUUCAACCCCCACCCUCAGAAAACCUUCCAAGCAGUGGCUUGUCCCUUGGAGCGCCUCAAGACCGAGUCUAUAGGUUAUUAAGGUCUGGUCCAUAGACCUUCCACGUGGUUUCUCUUCUUCCCCUGAGAUCACCCAGGGAUGCUUUGCUCAUUAAAUCUGGACUUUUAAUUUGGCUUGAAUUGGCUUAUUGCAUCAGCAGAGUUACCCACUACUGGGGAUAUUUUUCAAAAUACUUAUCAUGCACCAUUAUGCCCUCAGCCUAAACCUUUCAUUUAAACAAAAGAACAAGUCAUUCUUCAAACUGAAAUUUAUAUACAGUUAGGAGGACAA